rnacentral:misc_RNA from 1 species
GUAGGUAAACCUGCAGAAGGAUCAUUAUCGUGGGGCUUCGGCCCUCUCAAGAUAGAACCCUUGCCUUUUUAAGUACCUUUCGUUUCCUCAGCGGGCUCGCCCGCCAAUAGGGACCACAAUAAACCCUUUGUAAUACCUGUAAUCGUCUAACAAAACAAACAAAAAUUAAAACUUUCAACAACAGAUCUCUUGGUUCUAGCAUCGAUGAAGAACGCAGCAUCUGACUGACUUCAGUACGAGGCAUCUCGUA